rnacentral:rRNA from 1 species
UCCAGACUCCUACGGGAGGCAGCAGUGGGGAAUAUUGCACAAUGGGGGGAAACCCUGAUGCAGCGACGCCGCGUGAGCGAUGAAGUAUUUCGGUAUGUAAAGCUCUAUCAGCAGGGAAGAAAAUGACGGUACCUGACUAAGAAGCCCCGGCUAACUACGUGCCAGCAGCCGCGGUAAUACGUAGGGGGCAAGCGUUAUCCGGAUUUACUGGGUGUAAAGGGAGCGUAGACGGCAAUGCAAGCCAGAUGUGAAAGCCCGGGGCUCAACCCCGGGACUGCAUUUGGAACUGUGUAGCUGGAGUGUCGGAGAGGCAGGCGGAAUUCCUAGUGUAGCGGUGAAAUGCGUAGAUAUUAGGAAGAACACCAGUGGCGAAGGCGGCUUUCUGGACUGAAACUGACGCUGAGGCACGAAAGCGUGGGGAGCGAACAGGAUUAGAUACCCUGGUACGG